ACGCUCGACACCUACGGUAGGCAGCAGUCGGGAAUAUUGCGCAAUGGAGGAAACUCUGACGCAGUGACGCCGCGUGCAGGAAGAAGGUUUUCGGAUUGUAAACUGCUUUAGACAGGGAAGAAAGAAAUGACAGUACCUGUAGAAUAAGCUCCGGCUAACUACGUGCAAGCAGCCGCGGUAAUCUGAGCGGGCUGGCAAGGC
rnacentral:rRNA from 1 species